AGAAUCAACGCUGGCGGCGUGCCUAACACAUGCAAGUCGAACGAGGAAGUGGAGCAAUCCAUGAGUAAAGUGGCGACCGGGUGAGUAACACGUGACUAACCUACCUUCGAGUGGGGGAUAACCUCGGGAAACCGAGGCUAAUACCGCAUAACAUCGCAAGAUCAAAGCAGCAAUGCGCUGGAAGAGGGGGUCGCGGCUGAUUAGCUAGUUGGCGGGGUAACGGCCCACCAAGGCGAAGAUCGGUAGCCGGCCUGAGAGGGCGCACGGCCACACUGGAACUGAAACACGGUCCAGACUCCUACGGGAGGCAGCAGUGGGGAAUUUUGCGCAAUGGGGGAAACCCUGACGCAGCAACGCCGCGUGGAGGAUGAAGCCCCUUGGGGCGUAAACUCCUUUCGACCAAGACGAUAAUGACGGUACUGGUGGAAGAAGCACCGGCUAACUCUGUGCCAGCAGCCGC
rnacentral:rRNA from 1 species